rnacentral:rRNA from 1 species
GACGAACGCUGGCGGCGUGCUUAACACAUGCAAGUCGAACGAAGAGCGAUGGAAGCUUGCUUCUAUCAAUCUUAGUGGCGAACGGGUGAGUAACGCGUAAUCAACCUGCCCUUCAGAGGGGGACAACAGUUGGAAACGACUGCUAAUACCGCAUACGAUCUAAUCUCGGCAUCGAGGAUAGAUGAAAGGUGGCCUCUACAUGUAAGCUAUCACUGAAGGAGGGGAUUGCGUCUGAUUAGCUAGUUGGGGGGGUAACGGCCCACCAAGGCGAUGAUCAGUAGCCGGUCUGAGAGGAUGAACGGCCACAUUGGGACUGAGACACGGCCCAGACUCCUACGGGAGGCAGCAGUGGGGAAGCUUCCGCAAGGGACGAAAGUCUGACGGAGCAACGCCGCGUGAGCGAUGACGGCCUUCGGGUUGUAAAGCUCUGUUAAUCGGGACGAAAGGCCUUCUUGCGAAUAGUGAGAAGGAUUGACGGUACCGGAAUAGAAAGCCACGGCUAACUACGUG